rnacentral:rRNA from 1 species
UACGUAGGGGGCAAGCGUUGUCCGGAAUCAUUGGGCGUAAAGAGCGUGUAGGCGGCCAGAUAAGUCCGCUGUGAAAUCUCGAGGCUCAACUUCGAGCUGUCGGUGGAAACUGUCUGGCUAGAGUCCGGAAGAGGAGAAUGGAAUUCCUGGUGUAGCGGUGAAAUGCGCAGAUAUCAGGAAGAAAACCCGUGGCGAAGGCGGUUCUCUGGGACGGUACUGACGCUGAGACGCGAAAGCGUGGGGAGCGAACAGG